GACAGAGGGUGCAAACGUUGUUCGGAAUUACUGGGCGUAAAGCGUGUGUAGGCGGCUUCGCAAGUCGGAUGUGAAAGCCCCGGGCUCAACCCGGGAAGUGCACUCGAUACUGCGGAGCUAGAGUGUCGGAGAGGUUGGUGGAAUUCUCGGUGUAGAGGUGAAAUUCGUAGAUAUCGAGAGGAACACCGGUGGCGAAGGCGGCCAACUGGGCGAACACUGACGCUGAGACACGAAAGCGUGGGGAGCAAACAGG
rnacentral:rRNA from 1 species